rnacentral:rRNA from 1 species
AGAGUUUUAUCCUGGCUCAGGACGAACGCUGGCGGCGUGCUUAACACAUGCAAGUCUAGGUAGAAAUUUCGACUUGUCGAGAGAGUAAACUGGCGAACGGGUGAGUAACGCGUAGGUAAUUUGCCUUUAAGUGGGGGACAGGCACGGGAAACUGUGAUUAAUACCGCAUAUUGUUGAUUUACACAAGUAGAUUAAUGAAAGUUGGGGACCUUCGGGCCCAACGCUUAAAGAUAAGCCUGCGUCUGAUUAGUUAGUUGGUGGGGUAAUGGCCUACCAAGACAUCGAUCAGUAGCUGUUCUAAGAGGAAGAUCAGCCACAUUGGGACUGAGAUACGGCCCAGACUCCUACGGGAGGCAGCAGUGAGGAAUUUUGCGCAAUGGGGGCAACCCUGACGCAGCAACGCCGCGUGACCGAUUGAAGCUUCUAGGAGUGUAAAGGUCUGUCGUGAAGGAAGAAAAAGUCCGAGAAUAAUAAGUUCGGUAAUUGACGGUACUUCACAAGCAAGCUCCGGCUAACUUCGUGCCAGCAGCCGCGGUAAUACGAGGGGAGCAAGCGUUGUCCGAAAUAACUGGGCGUAAAGGGUACGUAGGCUUUUGUGUGUGUUUUCGGUGAAAGUCAUAGGCUCAACUUAUGAAUUGCCGGAAAAACUGCAUAGAUUGAAUCCGGAAGGGGAAAGCGGAAUUCCUGGUGUAGCGGUGAAAUGCGUAGAUAUCAGGAGGAACACCAGUGGCGAAGGCGGCUUUCUGGUCCGGAAUUGACCUGAGGUACUAAAGCGUGGGUAGCAAACAGGAUUAGAUACCCUGGUAGUCCACGCCCUAAACGAUGUAUACUUGAUGUCGGGAUGUUCGGUCGUCUCGGUGUCGUAGCUAACGUGUUAAGUAUACCGCCUGGGGACUACGGUCGCAAGACUGAAACUCAAAGGAAUUGACGGGGGCCCGCACCAGCGGUGGAACAUGUGGUUUAAUUCGAUGCAACGCGAAGAACCUUACCUGGGCUUGACAUACAUAUGAAGUAUGUAAGAAAUUAUGUAUUUUUGCUGCUUGCAGUAAACAUAUGUACAGGUGAUGCAUGGCUGUCGUCAGCUCGUGUCGUGAGAUGUAGGGUUAAGUCCCUUAACGAGCGCAACCCUUGCUUUUAGUUGCCAUCAGGUAAUGCUGGGGACUCUAGAAGGACUGCCGAGGUUAACUCGGAGGAAGGUGGGGAUGACGUCAAGUCAGUAUGUCCCUUAUGUCCAGGGCUACACACGUGUUACAAUGGCCGGUACAGAGUGCAGCAAGACCGCGAGGUGGAGCAAAUCACUUAAGGCCGGUCCCAGUUCGGAUAGGAGUCUGCAAUUCGACUCCUUGAAGUUGGAAUCGCUAGUAAUCGCAGAACAGCACGCUGCGGUGAAUACGUUCCCGGGCCUUGUACACACCGCCCGUCACGCCAUGGAAGUUGGGGGUACCCGAAGUUGCUGUCUAUUCGGUGGAGGUAACUAAGGUAAAACCGAUGACUGGGGCGAAGUCGUAACAAGGUA